rnacentral:rRNA from 1 species
GACGAACCGAGCGAACGUUAUUCGGAAUCACUGGGCUUAAAGGGCGCGUAGGCGGGCGAUCAAGUCAGGGGUGAAAGCCCCCAGCUCAACUGGGGAAGUGCCUCUGAUACUGGUCGCCUCGAGGGAGGUAGGGCGUGCGGAACUUCCGGUGGAGCGGUGAAAUGCGUAGAUAUCGGAAGGAACGUCGGUGGCGAAAGCGGCGCGCUGGACCUCUUCUGACGCUGAGGCGCGAAAGCCAGGGGA